GCGGGAAUAGCUCAGUGGUAGAGCGUAAUCUUGCCAAGAUUAUGGUCGCGAGUUCGAAUCUCGUUUCCCGCU
rnacentral:tRNA from 1 species